rnacentral:rRNA from 1 species
CUACGGGUCGCACCAGUGGGGAAUAUUGCACAAUGGGCGCAAGCCUGAUGCAGCCAUGCCGCGUGUAUGAAGAAGGCCUUCGGGUUGUAAAGUACUUUCAGCGGGGAGGAAGGGAGUAAAGUUAAUACCUUUGCUCAUUGACGUUACCCGCAGAAGAAGCACCGGCUAACUCCGUGCCAGCAGCCGCGGUAAUACGGAGGGUGCAAGCGGUAAUCGGAAUUACUGGGCGUAAAGCGCACGCAGGCGGUUUGUUAAGUCAGAUGUGAAAUCCCCGGGCUCAACCUGGGAACUGCAUCUGAUACUGACAAGCUUGAGUCUCGUAGAGGGGGGUAGAAUUCCAGGUGUAGCGGUGAUAUGCGUAGAGAUCUGGAGGAAUACCGGUGGCGAAGGCGGCCCCCUGGACGAAGACUGACGCUCAGGUGCGAAAGCGUGGGGAGCAAACAGGAUUAGAUACCCCCGUAGUC